rnacentral:lncRNA from 1 species
CAUCUACCCAUUUUAACCACAAAAGGUGUUAAGUAACUACAAAAGGUGGACUUCCCAAAAAAGGUGUUAAGUAACCCAAAAAGAUACAAUCUAACCAAAGAAGGUGAGUAAAGAGUGGGCAGUCCUGGAGAAAAUCAUCUGCUGUGAUUGGUAGACAUUAAAUUUAGGGGAGGUGACACAAGAGAAGAUGAUUCUUUAAAAAAAGGACAAAAAACCAGAAGAGGAGAUAUAUAUUCGAUUCGAGUUUCGAGUUGGAUGAAAGAUCUCUGACUCAGAGUUGGAGGAGAGACUGGAGACAGACACUCGAGGAGUGACCAGAAGACAGACACCCAGACUUCUUUUCAUUUAUAUGGUCAUCAUUGAUCCUCAAGGUUCAAGCUGUUGGCAUAAUUUGUUGCCCAAGUAUGAGACUGCCAUGAGGAGCUCCAGAUGCCCUUUCUGAAGCAAGUCAGGGAGGAUAACUUCCCUUCAUCAUAUCAACUUAAGGUGUCCUCAAUGCCUAUCCUGCAUGGACUAAGUCACUCACCCCUGAUACAAGUGAAAUUCUCCUCUGGUGGUGAUAACAGCUCUGCUCCUCAAUGAACUAUAACAAGGGCUCUAAAUGCAUCUCUGGUAGCAUACCACAGUGAUUUGCAAAAGUGAGAAUAAAUCAAAGCAGCCAAGAGAUGC